AUGAACGCUGGCGGCAUGCCUAACACCUGCAAGUCGAACGAAGGCUUCGGCCUUAGUGGCGCACGGGUGCGUAACGCGUGGGAAUCUGCCCCUUGGUUCGGAAUAACAGUUAGAAAUGACUGCUAAUACCGGAUGAUGACGUAAGUCCAAAGAUUUAUCGCCGAGGGAUGAGCCCGCGUAGGAUUAGCUAGUUGGUGUGGUAAGAGCGCACCAAGGCGACGAUCCUUAGCUGGUCUGAGAGGAUGAUCAGCCACACUGGGACUGAGACACGGCUCAGACUCCUACGGGAGGCAGCAGUGGGGAAUAUUGGACAAUGGGCGAAAGCCUGAUCCAGCAAUGCCGCGUGAGUGAUGAAGGCCUUAGGGUUGUAAAGCUCUUUUACCCGGGAUGAUAAUGACAGUACCGGGAGAAUAAGCUCCGGCUAACUCCGUG
rnacentral:rRNA from 1 species